rnacentral:rRNA from 1 species
CCCUUAGAUGCUCUGGGCCGCACGCGCGCUACACUGGUCGAUGCAACGAGUUUGUUUCCUUGAUCGAAAGGUCUGGGUAAUCUUUGAAAGGUAGUCGUGAUGGGGAUAGAUCCUUGCAAUUUUUGAUCUUCAACGAGGAAUUCCUAGUAAACGCAAGUCAUCAGCUUGCAUUGAUUACGUCCCUGCCCUUUGUACACACCGCCCGUCGCACCUACCGAUUGAAUGGUCCGGUGAAUCUUUAGGACUGUGGCUGAGGCCUUGCCUUGUGCGGGUCUGGCCGUGGGAAUUUAGUUAAACCUUACCAUUUAGAGGAAGGAGAAGUCGUAACA